AGAGUUUGAUCCUGGCUCAGGACGAACGCUGGCGGCGCGCCUAACACAUGCAAGUCGAACGGUGAAGAGGAGCUUGCUCCUCGGAUCAGUGGCGGACGGGUGAGUAACACGUGAGCAACCUGCCUUUCAGUGGGGGACAACAGUUGGAAACGACUGCUAAUACCGCAUAACGUGCCAGAGGGGCAUCCUUUUGGUACCAAAGAUUUAUCGCUGAAAGAUGGGCUCGCGUCUGAUUAGAUAGUUGGUGAGGUAACGGCCCACCAAGUCGACGAUCAGUAGCCGGACUGAGAGGCUGAUCGGCCACAUUGGGACUGAGACACGGCCCAGACUCCUACGGGAGGCAGCAGUGGGGAAUAUUGGACAAUGGGGGAAACCCUUAUCCAGCGACGCCGCGUGAGGGAAGAAGGUUUUCGGAUUGUAAACCUCUGUCAGUGGGGACGAUAAUGACGGUACCCACGGAGGAAGCCACGGCUAACUACGUG
rnacentral:rRNA from 1 species